rnacentral:rRNA from 1 species
AUGAACGCUGGCGGCGUGCUUAACACAUGCAAGUCGAACGAAGCACUUAUCUUUGAUUCUUCGGAUGAAGAGGUUUGUGACUGAGUGGCGGACGGGUGAGUAACGCGUGGGUAACCUGCCUCAUACAGGGGGAUAACAGUUAGAAAUGACUGCUAAUACCGCAUAAGACCACAGAGCCGCAUGGCUCAGUGGGAAAAACUCCGGUGGUAUGAGAUGGACCCGCGUCUGAUUAGGUAGUUGGUGGGGUAACGGCCUACCAAGCCAACGAUCAGUAGCCGACCUGAGAGGGUGACCGGCCACAUUGGGACUGAGACACGGCCCAAACUCCUACGGGAGGCAGCAGUGGGGAAUAUUGCACAAUGGGGGAAACCCUGAUGCAGCGACGCCGCGUGAGCGAAGAAGUAUUUCGGUAUGUAAAGCUCUAUCAGCAGGGAAGAAAAUGACGGUACCUGACUAAGAAGCACCGGCUAAAUACGUGCCAGCAGCCGCGGUAAUACGUAUGGUGCAAGCGUUAUCCGGAUUUACUGGGUGUAAAGGGAGCGUAGACGGCUGUGUAAGUCUGAAGUGAAAGCCCGGGGCUCAACCCCGGGACUGCUUUGGAAACUAUGCAGCUAGAGUGUCGGAGAGGUAAGUGGAAUUCCCAGUGUAGCGGUGAAAUGCGUAGAUAUAUGGAGGAACACCAGUGGCGAAAGCGGCUCUCUGGUCUGUCACUGACGCUGAGGCUCGAAAGCGUGGGUAGCGAACAGGAUUAGAUACCCUGGUAGUCCACGCCGUAAACGAUGAGUGCUAGGUGUUAGGCCCUUUCCGGGGCUUAGUGCCGGAGCUAACGCAAUAAGCACUCCGCCUGUGGAGUACGACCGCAAGGUUGAAACUCAAAGGAAUUGACGGGGGCCCGCACAAGCGGUGGAGCAUGUGGUUUAAUUCGAAGCAACGCGAAGAACCUUACCUGCUCUUGACAUCCCGGUGACCGGCGUGUAAUGACGCCUUUUCUUCGGAACACCGGUGACAGGUGGUGCAUGGUUGUCGUCAGCUCGUGUCGUGAGAUGUUGGGUUAAGUCCCGCAACGAGCGCAACCCUUAUCUUCAGUAGCCAGCAUUUUGGAUGGGCACUCUGGAGAGACUGCCAGGGAUAACCUGGAGGAAGGUGGGGAUGACGUCAAAUCAUCAUGCCCCUUAUGAGCAGGGCUACACACGUGCUACAAUGGCGUAAACAAAGGGAAGCGAGCCUGCGAGGGUAAGCAAAUCUCAAAAAUAACGUCUCAGUUCGGAUUGUAGUCUGCAACUCGACUACAUGAAGCUGGAAUCGCUAGUAAUCGCAGAUCAGAAUGCUGCGGUGAAUACGUUCCCGGGUCUUGUACACACCGCCCGUCACACCAUGGGAGUUGGUAACGCCCGAAGUCAGUGACCCAACCGUAAGGAGGGAGCUGCCGAAGGUGGGACCGAUAACUGGGGUG